rnacentral:rRNA from 1 species
AAUAGAUACCCUGGUAGUCCACGCCGUAAACGAUGAGUGCUAAGUGUUGGGGGUUUCCGCCCCUCAGUGCUGCAGCUAACGCAUUAAGCACUCCGCCUGGGGAGUACGGUCGCAAGACUGAAACUCAAAGGAAUUGACGGGGGCCCGCACAAGCGGUGGAGCAUGUGGUUUAAUUCGAAGCAACGCGAAGAACCUUACCAGGUCUUGACAUCCCGGUGACCACUAUGGAGACAUAGUUUCCCCUUCGGGGGCAACGGUGACAGGUGGUGCAUGGUUGUCGUCAGCUCGUGUCGUGAGAUGUUGGGUUAAGUCCCGCAACGAGCGCAACCCUUAUUCUUAGUUGCCAUCAUUUAGUUGGGCACUCUAAGGAGACUGCCGGUGAUAAACCGGAGGAAGGUGGGGAUGACGUCAAAUCAUCAUGCCCCUUAUGACCUGGGCUACACACGUGCUACAAUGGACGGUACAAACGGUUGCCAAACCCGCGAGGGGGAGCUAAUCCGAUAAAACCGUUCUCAGUUCGGAUUGUAGGCUGCAACUCGCCUACAUGAAC